rnacentral:lncRNA from 1 species
GCUUCACCAUUAGACUUCUUUGGAUUGGUCUUCCACUUGACAUCUUUUCUCUGACUCUUCGGCUUUUUGUUCUUCAAUAACUUUGACUCCUUGAGGGAUCACCAUUCCAAAUACACCAUACACUCUCUAGUCUUCACGCUUCCAUUAUUGUCUCGGUUGCUUCUUCACUAGCUCGACCACUGAUUGAUUUGAUCUUGCACACUCGCUGCUGGUCUUUACCGUGGUCGCCUCUGGUUCUAGAUUUUCUUCAUGCACGCACAAGUCUUCUUGAGUACACCUUGGCAGGGUUCAUGUCCUUCCGACACCACACCCACUUACAACACAUCACAUAGCUAUAAAUAAGGGCAGGCUUCCUAAACUCUAGGGUUCGCUCUAUCCUAAA